CUCUUUCUGUUUUAUAUUCUUCGCAUUUGAGUACUAGGAACACCGUACUGUUAAAGGGGGUCAAAGUUACACUUUGGAAUGAAUUUCCUCAUGAUGCUCAACCCAGGCCUAAUCCGACCAAAAGCCUCAAGUGAGGAAUACGAGUGACAUGAGGACUCUCACAGUUGAGGGUUCCGACCGUUUCGAUAGCCUCGCCAAGUCAUUGGUCUUAUCCACUCCAACGG
rnacentral:lncRNA from 1 species